UUCCUCUUCAAAGGUUCUGCUUGUCCUCUAUUUUCAGAGCCUAAUUUCCUUGCCUCCUUGCCACUAGUUAUGGUAAACAAUUUUCAGCUGUUCCCAAUCUGUAACCCACAUCCAUUCCCAAUCUGUAAUCCACAUCUGUUCCCAAUCUGUAACCCACAGCCAUUCCCAAUCUGUAACAACCCACACCUGUUCCUUAUUUGGCACCCUUAGUUCCGAAACUGCUCUUUCCUCUGCUGUAGCUCCCACCCCUGUUCCAUUUUGAAGUAGCCAAAUGGGAUCAGCUUAGAUUGUGUGGUCCCACCCCAGCCAAUGCAGACUGGACACAGUAGUAGGGACUGACUGUGUUAGGGAUAAAAACCCAUUCCCUUCUUCAUUUGGUGUAUUCUUGCAGUGACCAGAAGAACGAGCAGCGCUUCUGCAGAGAUUGAGUUCAACCUGUCCUGCAAUUUUCUGGAAGAAAACCUGCUAUCAGUUUUCAGAGAAUCAUCCUGGGAAGUGCUCUCUGACUUUCAGAAGGAGGAUGGAAAUCAUAUCCUAUGUAUAUCGCAUCCAGUGGAUGGGCAGAGUGCCUCUAGAAAGUAUUACUCACGGAUGCACUGCUCUGAGUGAGGGAUGAGUGUGAGGGUCAUAGGAUCCAGGCAAUGCAUACGUGGGGGUGGGGCAGGGAGGAGAGAAGUAGGAGGAUGCAGAUCAGCAGGAGAGGGGGAGGACUGGCAGGUGUCACAGAAAGUGGUGGUUAGAACCUUUAGCAGAGCAGCAGAGAUUGUGCAAAGAUGCAUGCAAGGAGACUGUGGAAAAAGCAAGUGUCUCUCCCUUUCUGGAAGGACACUUAGAUGGAUGAAAGGAGAAUUGUAUAAUCAGAUUUCAAUCUAUUGAUGUUGAAAAUGGAGACACUUAACAGAUUCUGAUGAUGGUAAUACUACUACUUUUUGUCUCAAUGCUAUCUUAUAGUUUUCAAAAUUCUUUCACAUUUUUUAUGGAACCAAACAUAACAUUGUAGAAAUGUUAAUAUUUUCUUGAAUUUUUUGAAGCCCCAAACCUGCUUGCUGACUGCCAAAUUCAGAGUAUCAAAUGUCAUUAAAGGUCAGUGAAUUCAGUGGGUGUCCGUGAUGUUGUCUGCAUUUUACUCCUGCAAUAACUAAUACAAAGAUCAUGUUCCCAACCUCACAUUCUAGCCUACUGUGUAGUUUGGAAAGUUAGAGUUUGUAAUUCUGUGGGUGCAGAAUAUUGUCCAAAGAGAGUUUGGUCAGGACACUCACUCAAAUGCUUAAAAGCAUGAAGGGUCUAGGAUGCAUUUUAUAUAUUU
rnacentral:lncRNA from 1 species